GUGAGGAAUAUUGCGCAAUGGGGGAAACCCUGACGCAGCGACGCCGCGUGGGUGAUGAAGGCCUUCGGGUCGUAAAGCCCUGUCGGGAGGAAAGAAAUGCGUGCGGAUUAAUAAUUCGUACGUUUGACGGUACCUCCAAAGGAAGCACCGGCUAACUCUGUGCCAGCAGCCGCGGUAAUACAGAGGGUGCAAGCGUUGUUCGGAAUUACUGGGCGUAAAGGGCGUGCAGGCGGUUUGUCAAGUCAGAUGUGAAAGCCCACGGCUCAACUGUGGAAGCGCAUUUGAAACUGGCAGACUUGAGUACCAGAGGGGAAAGUGGAAUUCCCGGUGUAGAGGUGAAAUUCGUAGAUAUCGGGAGGAAUACCGGUGGCGAAGGCGACUUUCUGGCUGGAUACUGACGCUGAGACGCGAAAGCGCGGGGAGCAAACAGGAUUAGAUACCCUUGUAGUCC
rnacentral:rRNA from 1 species